rnacentral:rRNA from 1 species
GACGAACGCUGGCGGCGUGCUUAACACAUGCAAGUCGAACGGAAAGGCCCCCACCUUGGUGGGGGUGCUCGAGUGGCGAACGGGUGAGUAACACGUGGGUGAUCUGCCCUGUACUUCGGGAUAAGCUUGGGAAACUGGGUCUAAUACCGGAUAGGACCAUGGUUUAGUGUCUCAUGGUGGAAAAAUUAUUGUUUUGGUGCAGGAUGAGCUCGCGGCCUAUCAGCUUGUUGGUGGGGUAAUGGCCUACCAAGGCGUCGACGGGUAGCCGGCCUGAGAGGGUGGACGGCCACAGUGGGACUGAGAUACGGCCCAGACUCCUACGGGAGGCAGCAGGGGGGAAUAUUGCACAAUGGGCGCAAGCCUGAUGCAGCGACGCCGCGUGGGGGAUGACGGCCUUCGGGUUGUAAACUCCUUUCGUUAGGGACGAAGCCACACCUUUUUUGGGUGUGGUGACGGUACCUUUGUUAAGAAGCACCGGCUAACUACGUG